rnacentral:rRNA from 1 species
GACCAGACUCCUACGGGAGGCAGCAGUGAGGAAUAUUGGUCAAUGGGAGGAAUCCUGAACCAGCCAUGCCGCGUGCAGGACGACGGCUCUACGAGUUGUAAACUGCUUUUGUACCGGGGUAAAAUGCCUUACGAGUAGGGUUUUGAAAGUACGGUACGAAUAAGGAUCGGCUAACUCCGUGCCAGCAGCCGCGGUAAUACGGAGGAUGCGAGCGUUAUCCGGAUUUAUUGGGUUUAAAGGGUGCGCAGGCGGAGGUGCAAGUCAGCGGUCAAAUUGCGGGGCUCAACCCCGUACUGCCGUUGAAACUGCAUCCCUUGAGUGCGCGAGAAGUAUGCGGAAUGCGUGGUGUAGCGGUGAAAUGCAUAGAUAUCACGCAGAACUCCGAUUGCGAAGGCAGCAUACCGGCGCGCAACUGACGCUCAUGCACGAAAGCGUGGGUAUCGAACAGGAUUAGAUACCCUCGUAC